UGAGCCGUGAGGCCGUGUGGGGAGGAAGCCGGAUGACGAAACGGAGUCCUGAACGAAAGUGAAGCCUCGUAAGGCAGGUCGGGCGGGUGAAUGUGCCUCAGAACAUGACGCCCAGUUUUCCGAGCAGCCCGACACGUAGUGAGGACCGGAUGACGCGAAAGUUCAUCGNC
rfam:Freshwater sediment metagenome lwFormaldehyde_BCIB13363_y1, whole genome shotgun sequence.